rnacentral:rRNA from 1 species
GAUGAACGCUGGCGGCGUGCCUAAUACAUGCAAGUCGAGCGAAGCGGGGACGGGGGAGUAACACGUGGAUAACGUCCUAUACGACUGGGAUAACUUCGGUAAAGCGGAGCUAACCAGGAUACUUGUAGAUGGAUCAGCGCUGCAUUAGCUAGUUGGUAAGGUAACGGCUUACCAAGGCAACGAUGCAUAGCCGACCUGAGAGGGUGAUCGGCCACACUGGAACUGAGACACGGUCCAGACUCCUACGGGAGGCAGCAGUAGGGAAUCUUCCGCAAUGGGCGAAAGCCUGACGGAGCAACGCCGCGUGAGUGAUGAAGGUCUUCGGAUCGUAAAACUCUGUUAUUAGGGAAGCGGUACCUAAUCAGAAAGCCCCGGCUAACUACGUGCCAGCAGCCGCGGUAAUUC